rnacentral:rRNA from 1 species
UGCAGUCGAGGGGCAGCACGGUAGCAAUACUGGUGGCGACCGGCGCACGGGUGCGUAACACGUAUACAAUCUGCCUUUAACAGGGGGAUAGCCUUUCGAAAGAGAGAUUAAUACCCCAUAAUAGAUGAAACGGCAUCGUUUUAUUUUGAAAGUUCCGACGGUUAAAGAUGAGUAUGCGUCUGAUUAGCUAGAUGGUGAGGUAACGGCUCACCAUGGCCACGAUCAGUAGGGGAUCUGAGAGGACUACCCCCCACACGGAUACUGAGACACGGAUCCGACUCCUACGGGAGGCAGCAGUAAGGAAUAUUGGACAAUGCCCGCAAGGGUGAUCCAGCCAUGCCGCGUGCAGGAAGACGGCCCUAUGGGUUGUAAACUGCUUUUAUACCGGAGAAAACCUCCCCUCGUGAGGGGAGCUGAUAGUAUGGUAAGAAUAAGCAUCGGCUAACUUCGUGCCAGCAGCCGCGGUAAGACGAAGGAUGCAAGCGUUAUCCGGAUUCAUUGGGUUUAAAGGGAGCGUAGGCGGCCUUGUAAGUCAGUGGUGAAAUCUCGCAGCUUAACUGCGAAAUUGCCAUUGAUACUGCAGGGCUUGAGUACAGUUGCCGUUGGCGGAAUAUGACAUGUAGUGGUGAAAUACAUAGAGAUGUCAUAGAACACCGAUUGCGAAGGCAGCU